ACCGUACUCCUACGGGAGGCAGCAGUGGGGAAUUUUGGACAAUGGGGGCAACCCUGAUCCAGCAUGCCGCGUGAGCGAAGAAGGCCUUCGGGUUGUAAAGCUCUUUUGUCAGGGAAGAAACGGUAGUAGCUAAUAUCUAUUACUAAUGACGGUACCUGAAGAAUAAGCACCGGCUAACUACGUGCCAGCAGCCGCGGUAAUACGUAGGGUGCAAGCGUUAAUCGGAAUUACUGGGCGUAAAGCGUGCGCAGGCGGUUGUGUAAGUCAGAUGUGAAAUCCCCGGGCUCAACCUGGGAAUUGCAUUUGAGACUGCACAGCUAGAGUGUGUCAGAGGGGGGUAGAAUUCCACGUGUAGCAGUGAAAUGCGUAGAUAUGUGGAGGAAUACCGAUGGCGAAGGCAGCCCCCUGGGAUAACACUGACGCUCAUGCACGAAAGCGUGGGGAGCAAACAGGAUUAGAUACCCCGGUAGUCCUUGAC
rnacentral:rRNA from 1 species